rnacentral:rRNA from 1 species
UAUCGGGAUGGGAUUAAGACAUGUUAGUCGUGCGCUUCCUAGCCAUGAUGGAGGCGCGGCGCACAGCUCAGUAUCACGUGGCUAACCUAACCUUAGGACGGGGGCACCCCCGGGAAACUGGGGCUAAUUUCCGAUAGGUGAAGAUUCCUGGAAUGGAUUUUUGCCUAAAGGGCACUUGGGUCAUGCUUCCAGGUGUUGCCUAAGGAUGGGGCCGCGGCCGAUCAGGUUGUUGGUGAGGUAAUGGCCCACCAAGCCUUUUACCGGUGCGGGCCGUGGGAGCGGGAGCCCGGAGAUGGGCACUGAGACAAGGGCCCAGGCCCUACGGGGCGCAGCAGUCGCGAAAAUUUCGCAAUAAGCGAAAGCUUGACGGAGCUAUCCCGAGUGCCAUCCGCUGAGGAUGGCUUUUCUCUAGUAUAGAUAGCUGGGGGAAUAAGGAGAGGGCAAGUCUGGUGUCAGCCGCCGCGGUAAUACCAGCUCUCCGAGUGGUGGGGAUGAUUAUUGGGCCUAAAGCAUCCGUAGCCGGCUGAGCAAGUCCCCUGUUAAACCCAGCGAUUCAAUCGCUGGCCUGCGGGGGAUACUGCUUGGCUAGGGGGCGAGAGAGGCCGUCGGUAUUCCCGGGGUAGGGGUGAAAUCCUAUAAUCCCGGGAGGACCACCAGUGGCGAAGGCUGUCGGCUAGAACGCGCUCGACGGUGAGGGAUGAAAGCUGGGGGAGCGAACCGGAUUAGAUACCCGGGUAGUCCCAGCUGUAAACGAUGCAGGCUUGGUGUUAGGGCGGCCACGUGCCGCUCUAGUGCCGCAGGGAAGCUGUUAAGCCUGCCGCCUGGGGAGUACGGCCGCAAGGCUGAAACUUAAAGGAAUUGGCGGGGGAGCACCACAAGGGGUGAAGCUUGCGGUUUAAUUGGAUCAACGCCGGAA